AAAAUUAGAGUGUUCAAAGCAGGCAGAUCCAAUUUUCUGCCACCGAAUACAUUAGCAUGGGAUAAUGGAAUAGGACCCUGUCCUCCUAUUUUCAGUUGGUUUUGGCAGCGCGAGGACUAGGGUAAUGAUUAAUAGGGAUAGUUGGGGGCAUUAAUAUUUAAUUGUCAGAGGUGAAAUUCUUGGAUUUAUGAAAGAUUAACUUCUGCGAAAGCAUCUGCCAAGGAUGUUUUCAUUAAUCAAGAACGAAAGUUAGGGGAUCGAAGACGAUCAGAUACCGUCGUAGUCUUAACCAUAAACGAUGCCGACCAGCGAUUAGGAGACGUUGAAUACAAAACACCACCAUCGGUGCGGUCAUCCUUGGCGUUGGUCUUGCAAAAGGCCAGCGCGGGGGUGGCUUAGCCCGGUGGCACCGGUGAA
rnacentral:rRNA from 1 species